rnacentral:rRNA from 1 species
GACGAACGCUGGCGGCGUGCUUAACACAUGCAAGUCGAACGGAAAGGCCCUGCUUUUGUGGGGUGCUCGAGUGGCGAACGGGUGAGUAACACGUGAGUAACCUGCCCUUGACUUUGGGAUAACUUCAGGAAACUGGGGCUAAUACCGGAUAGGAGCUCCUGCUGCAUGGUGGGGGUUGGAAAGUUUCGGCGGUUGGGGAUGGACUCGCGGCUUAUCAGCUUGUUGGUGGGGUAGUGGCUUACCAAGGCUUUGACGGGUAGCCGGCCUGAGAGGGUGACCGGCCACAUUGGGACUGAGAUACGGCCCAGACUCCUACGGGAGGCAGCAGUGGGGAAUAUUGCACAAUGGGCGGAAGCCUGAUGCAGCGACGCCGCGUGCGGGAUGACGGCCUUCGGGUUGUAAACCGCUUUCGCCUGUGACGAAGCGUGAGUGACGGUAAUGGGUAAAGAAGCACCGGCUAACUACGUGCCAGCAGCCGCGGUGAUACGUAGGGUGCGAGCGUUGUCCGGAUUUAUUGGGCGUAAAGGGCUCGUAGGUGGUUGAUCGCGUCGGAAGUGUAAUCUCGGGGCUUAACCCUGAGCGUGCUUUCGAUACGGGUUGACUUGAGGAAGGUAGGGGAGAAUGGAAUUCCUGGUGGAGCGGUGGAAUGCGCAGAUAUCAGGAGGAACACCAGUGGCGAAGGCGGUUCUCUGGGCCUUUCCUGACGCUGAGGAGCGAAAGCGUGGGGAGCGAACAGGCUUAGAUACCCUGGUAGUCCACGCUGUAAACGGUGGGUACUAGGUGUGGGGUCCAUUCCACGGGUUCCGUGCCGUAGCUAACGCUUUAAGUACCCCGCCUGGGGAGUACGACCGCAAGGCUAAAACUCAAAGGAAUUGACGGGGCCCCGCACAAGCGGCGGAGCAUGCGGAUUAAUUCGAUGCAACGCGUAGAACCUUACCUGGGUUUGACAUGGAUCGGGAGUGCUCAGAGAUGGGUGUGCCUCUUUUGGGGUCGGUUCACAGGUGGUGCAUGGCUGUCGUCAGCUCGUGUCGUGAGAUGUUGGGUUAAGUCCCGCAACGAGCGCAACCCUUGUUCACUGUUGCCAGCACGUUAUGGUGGGGACUCAGUGGAGACCGCCGGGGUCAACUCGGAGGAAGGUGGGGAUGACGUCAAGUCAUCAUGCCCCUUAUGUCCAGGGCUUCACGCAUGCUACAAUGGCUGGUACAGAGAGUGGCGAGCCUGUGAGGGUGAGCGAAUCUCGGAAAGCCGGUCUCAGUUCGGAUUGGGGUCUGCAACUCGACCUCAUGAAGUCGGAGUCGCUAGUAAUCGCAGAUCAGCAACGCUGCGGUGAAUACGUUCCCGGG